rnacentral:rRNA from 1 species
UGGCUCAGGAUGAACGCUAGCGGCAGGCCUAACACAUGCAAGUCGAGGGGCAUCACGAGGUAGCAAUACUUUGGUGGCGACCGGCGCACGGGUGCGUAACGCGUAUGUAACCUACCUAUAACAGGGGCAUAACACUGAGAAAUUGGUACUAAUUCCCCAUAAUAUUCGGAGAGGCAUCUCUCCGGGUUGAAAACUCCGGUGGUUAUAGAUGGACAUGCGUUGUAUUAGCUAGUUGGUGAGGUAACGGCUCACCAAGGCAACGAUACAUAGGGGGACUGAGAGGUUAACCCCCCACACUGGUACUGAGACACGGACUAGACUCCUACGGGAGGCAGCAGUGAGGAAUAUUGGUCAAUGGACGCAAGUCUGAACCAGCCAUGCCGCGUGCAGGAAGACGGCUCUAUGAGUUGUAAACUGCUUUUGUACGAGGGUAAACUCACCUACGUGUAGGUGACUGAAAGUAUCGUACGAAUAAGGAUCGGCUAACUCCGUGCCAGCAGCCGCGGUAAUACGGAGGAUUCAAGCGUUAUCCGGAUUUAUUGGGUUUAAAGGGUGCGUAGGCGGUUUGAUAAGUUAGAGGUGAAAUCCCGGGGCUUAACUCCGGAACUGCCUCUAAUACUGUUAGACUAGAGAGUAGUUGCGGUAGGCGGAAUGUAUGGUGUAGCGGUGAAAUGCUUAGAGAUCAUACAGAACACCGAUUGCGAAGGCAGCUUACCAAACUAUAUCUGACGUUGAGGCGCGAAAGCGUGGGGAGCAAACAGGA